AAGUCGUAACAAGGUUUCCGUAGGUGAACCUGCGGAAGGAUCAUUAACACGUAUCCAACGUUAAACAACCCUGUGAACUUUAAGUCCCCUCUUGCAGCCCAUGAGGAACAGCAAUCCCGGUAAAUCAUUGCCAAACAGUUUUGAUUCGGGACCUCUGUCCAAAAGGAGUUGCAAUCGAUGGCUUCCCCAAGCAGUUAGUGAAUGACAGUGUCACUGACUGUGUAAGGAUAACGCCUCACGGUUGCUAGAGGUCGAUCACCGACCGGCAGACAUGUCACAGGGUCACCACGCCCCUUAAUCACUCCACUUGAAAAUGCCCCGCCUAGUGGUAACGCGCUAGGUAAAAAAAACCGAACAACUGUUAACAAUGGAUAUCUUGGUUCUC
rnacentral:misc_RNA from 1 species